AUAUCAGUCAUGCAUAGCAUAUCAAUAAGCGGAGGAAAAGAAACUAACAAGGAUUCCCUUAGUAACGGCGAGUGAAGCGGGAAGAGCUCAAAUUUGAAUCUUCAAGGUUUUACCUUGACGAAUUGUAGUUUAAAGAAGUGUUUUCUGUUGAAGUUUUGGUAAAAGUUCUUUGGAAUAGGACAUCAUAGAGGGUGAGAAUCCCGUAUUUGACCAUUACUUUCAGCUUUGUGAUACACUUUCAAAGAGUCGGAUUGUUUGGGAAUGCAGUCCAAAAUGGGUGGUAAAUUUCAUCUAAAGCUAAAUAUUGGCGAGAGACCGAUAGCGAACAAGUACCGUGAGGGAAAGAUGAAAAGAACUUUGAAAAGAGAGUUAAACAGUACGUGAAAUUGUCAAAAGGGAAGCGUUUGACACCAGUGUUGUUUUCUCGAAAAUCAAUUAAAAAGAGUCGGAUUUUGUGUUGUAUUGACUUUAUCGGCUUUCUUCACUCUUUUCCAGCUUUUUUUAAUGCACUUUUCGUUUAACAAGUCAACAUCAGUUUCUUUUGUUGUAAAAAGGUCAUUGGAAGGUGGCUUUCUCUUCGGAGAAAGUGUUUAUAGCCUUUGACUCAUGCAAUCGGAGAGACUGAGGUCUGCAGCGUAGAUCCUUCGGGGUUAGAUACAUUUGUGCUAAGUUAUAGCUUUUCAUAGACAACUUGUUGACUAUGUUUAGUCUUGUAGCUUACUCGCUUAUGCUAUUUUACCUACGCUUAGGAUGUUGAACUCUAUCACACACAG
rnacentral:rRNA from 1 species